CAGCAGCCGCGGUAAUACGUAGGGGGCUAGCGUUGUCCGGAAUCAUUGGGCGUAAAGCGCGUGUAGGCGGUCCGGUAAGUCCGCUGUGAAAGUCGGGGGCUCAACCCUCGGAUGCCGGUGGAUACUGUCGGGCUUGAGUACGGAAGAGGCGAGUGGAAUUCCUGGUGUAGCGGUGAAAUGCGCAGAUAUCAGGAGGAACACCAAUUGCGAAGGCAGCUCGCUGGGACGUUACUGACGCUGAGACGCGAAAGCGUGGGGAGCAAACAGG
rnacentral:rRNA from 1 species